rnacentral:rRNA from 1 species
UACGGGGGGAGCAAGCGUUGUCCGGAUUUAUUGGGCGUAAAGAGCUCGUAGGCGGCUUGUCGCGUCGUCCGUGAAAACCAGGGGCUCAACCCCUGGCUUGCGGUCGAUACGGGCAGGCUAGAGUUCGGUAGGGGAGACUGGAAUUCCCGGUGUAGUGGUGAAAUGCGCAGAUAUCAGGAGGAACACCGGUGGCGAAGGCGGUUCUCUGGGCCUGUACUGACGCUGAGGAACGAAAGCGUGGGGAGCGAACAGG